GUGUGAACUAGAGGAGCGGAUCGUCAUCAGUACCCGUUGGGAGGUUGCGGUAGCCGUGGACCGGCGGGGAAAGGGACAUCCGCCGAAGUUUCCGGCCCGCCGCAGGGCUGGGGAACUGGGCCCGUUCUUGAACAAAGGCGGGACUGUCACGACUCCUGUCCGGGGAGACGUGGAGCACUGUGUAUCAC
rnacentral:ncRNA from 1 species